AUGAACGCUGACAGAAUGCUUAACACAUGCAAGUCAACUUGAAUUUGGGUUUUUAACUUAGGUUUGGGUGGCGGACGGGUGAGUAACGCGUAAAGAACUUGCCUCACAGCUAGGGACAACAUUUGGAAACGAAUGCUAAUACCUAAUAUUAUGAUAAUAGGGCAUCCUAUAAUUAUGAAAGCUAUAAGCGCUGUGAGAGAGCUUUGCGUCCCAUUAGCUAGUUGGAGAGGUAACGGCUCACCAAGGCGAUGAUGGGUAGCCGGCCUGAGAGGGUGAUCGGCCACAAGGGGACUGAGACACGGCCCUUACUCCUACGGGAGGCAGCAGUGGGGAAUAUUGGACAAUGGACCAAGAGUCUGAUCCAGCAAUUCUGUGUGCACGAUGAAGUUUUACGGAGUGUAAAGUGCUUUCAGUUGGGAAGAAAGAAAUGACGGUACCAACAGAAGAAGUGACGGCUAAAUACGUG
rnacentral:rRNA from 1 species